GUCAACCCAAAUCAGAACUCAAAAAUUAUUCAAGAUGUUUUCUUACCAUCCAUUCUCUAUAAACAGGUGAUAGAGGGGAAAAUAAUUCAAAUUUGAUAUGUGACUCCUAUGCACAAACCUCAAUGUUCCUGCUAACUUACAGUAUUAAAUCUAAGCUCAUCCCAAAUCAUACAACAAUUUGAAUAUUUUGAUCCGAGCUACACCACAGUUUCAGACCACAUCAAACUCUGCUCUAGCCACAGUGACCUUCAGCAUGCUGCGAAGGUUUUCCAGAAAAGAAAAUGGGGAUGCCAAUAUCUAUCACUCCCUGAUGGGGAUGCUAGAGAGACAGCAAUUCCAUGAUUGGAAUUUCCAGAAAAGAAAAUGGGGGAAUGAAGGAACCGGCUUCCCUUUUGGCAGCCAUAAUGGUUGAACAUGUGCCUUUAUGACCUUGUCCUAGAAACCAGAAAGUCAGAUGCCUGUCUUGUGACAAGGAACCAAUCAGAAGUUAGCUGGUGGCGCUAUGCUUUAUGGCUCUGGGUGUGCUUUACGGACAAGCGCACAGCAAUGACGUAGAGAGCAUAGCAACCACCCUGGGAGGGCCUAUGAGCCAUAACAACCAGUUGACCAAUCAACACAGGGCAAGCCCUCCAAGCCUGGAAGCACACCAAUCCUGAGCCUGUGCGUACCCCUAGACACUCCCCUUACGCUGCCCUAUAAGAUCUUUGGGGAGACCUUAGGAGCCGUCUUUUCUAGCCGUCAGCCAUGGCGGGUGGGUGAAAGACCCGAGCUAACAUGGGGUUAGUUCGUUAAAUUACAAUAAAGCCUCGUGCAGUUUGCAGCAAGCUCUCGAAUCCGCCUGGUGAUUGGGGUGACCGCG
rnacentral:lncRNA from 1 species